rnacentral:lncRNA from 1 species
GCCAUUGGGCCAGAAUUAAAUAAAUCUACAACUUGGGCUUGGCUUGGGCUGCAUUGCUGAUGCUUCUGUUUCUGUUUUAGUGAUUUGGGCUGCAGAUGUGGCCCAAUAACUCCAACACCCCCUGCAAGUUGGAGGGUGACUGAACCCCCAACUUGAGCAUGAUAGAAUGAUGCAAAAGACCAGGAAGGGGUUUGGUAAAGAUAUCCGCAAGCUGAGAGGUAGUAGGGACAUGGUGCAAGGCAAUAAGGCCUUCAUGAAGCUUGCCUCUGAUGAAAUGACAAUCCACCUCAAUAUGUUUUGUCUGCUCAUGAAAAACUGGAUUCUUUGCAAUGUGAAGUGCUGCUUGAUUAUCACAAAAGACUGGUACAGGUGUGGUAACAGGAACCCCACAAUCAGACAGCAAUCGAAUGAGCCAGGUGAGUUCACCAACAACCUUGCUGAUGGCUCUAUACUCAGCCUCAGCAGAAGACAGAGAUACCACAUGCUGUUUCUUAGCUUUCCAACCAAUGAGAGAACCACCUAACAAAACACAGAAGCCAGAAACAAACCUCCUGGUGUUUGGCAAAGAAGCCCAGUCACUAUCACAAUAAGCAGAUAAGGAGAGACCAGGAGAGUUGCUGAGAAAAAUGCCAAUCUCAGAAGUGUCUCUAAGGUAUCUCAGGGUAUGCAAAGCAGCAAGCAUGUGAGAGGAUGUAGGUUUCUGAAGAUACUGACUCAAAUGCUGUACAGCAAAGGCCAAGUCAGGCCUAGUGUGGGUGAGAAAAUUGAGAUUUCUUAGCCUUCCAACCAAUAAGAGAACCACCUAACAGAACACAAAAACCAGAAACAGAUCUCCUGGUGCGGGCAAGAAGCCCAGUCACUGUCACAAUAAGCAGAUAAGGAGAGGUCAGGUGUGUUGCUGAGAAAAAUGCCAAGCUCAGAAGUGCCUCUAAGAUAUCUCAGGGUAUACAAGGCUGCAUGCAUGUGAGAGGAGGUAGGCUUCUGAAGAUAUUGACUCAAAUGCUGUACAGCAAAGGCCAAGUCACGUCUAGUGUGUGUGAGAAAAUUGAGUUUCCCCACUAAGCACCUAUAUGAUUCAGGAAAGGGAAGAGGAUCCCCCAUAUCUAGUUUGAGUUUAACAGAGAGGUCAAGAGGGCAAGUAACAGGAGAAACAUCCUCACAGUGAUAGGUUUUGAGAAGGUCAGUGAUAAACUUUUUUUGGUGGAGAAGAAGCUCAGUAGAGAGAUAACUGACCUCAAUUCCCAGAAAAUAGUUGAGCACCCCCAAGUCCUUGAUUUU